rnacentral:rRNA from 1 species
AUGGCUGCCGCGUUCUUCCCUCUGUCGACCUCACCGCCGCUCCUCACCCGCCGCCCCGCAGCAGGCCUCGAACACAGCCGCCGGCCGCCGCGCGGGCAGCAUGGCGGCUGCUCCGCGCGCCGGUUGCCGGCAGCAGCGACCGCCGGCGCAACACGCGGCCUGACACGGAGAGCCACGGCUGCUGCUGCGGCGGCGGCCCAAGGCCGCGCUCUGGCCGGAGAGGGCGCGGAGGAGGGGUCGCUGCAGAUGGUCCUGCUCAGCACCGCGGUGGCCGUGUGCGGUUCCUUCGAGUUCGGCACCUGUGUUGGGUAUUCUGCGCCGGCUCAGGCCGGAAUCGUCGGCGACAUUGGACUGUCCAAUUCACAGUAUGGCAUCUUUGCAUCUGUCUUGACAGUUGGUGCAAUGGUCGGCGCUCUGACCAGUGGCCGCCUUGCAGACACUCUUGGACGCAAAAUGACCAUGCGGCUGGCAGCAAUUGUAGGCAUUUUUGGUUGGCUUGCUAUAUACCUAGCCAAGGGUGCAACGAUGCUUUGCUUGGGACGAAUCUUGCUAGGCUACUGUACAGGGGUCCUUUCUUAUGUGGUACCUGUGUUCAUAUCUGAAAUAGCACCAAAGGAUCUCCGAGGAGGCCUUGCAGCCUCAAACCAGCUGUUUAUUUGUUCAGGGUGUUCAGCUUCCUACAUCAUUGGAGCAACGAUUCCGUGGCGCUCUUUGGUUAUCGUGGGAUUACUGCCUUGUGUGUUCCUCCUCGUGGGUCUUCCCUUCAUUCCCGAGUCUCCAAGGUGGCUGGCCAACAUCGGGAGAGAGAAAGAAUUCCGUGCUUCACUACAAAAGCUUAGGGGUGAAAAGGCUGAAAUAUCUGGAGAGGCUACUGAGAUUAUAGCGUACGUGGAAUCAGUUCAGGAUUUACCUAAGGCCAGGAUUCAGGAUUUGUUUCACAGGAAAAAUAUGUAUGCAGUCAUUGUGGGUGUCGGCCUGAAGGUCUUUCAGCAACUGGGGGGAAUAAACGCAUUAGGCUUCUAUACAAGCUAUAUCUUUUCAUCAGCAGGGUUUUCUGGUAAACUUGGGACCACAUUGAUCGGCAUUAUUCAGAUUCCAAUCACAUUACUUGGGGCCCUUCUCAUGGAUAGGAGUGGAAGAAGAACCCUUCUACUAGUGUCUUCAUCUGGCACAUUUGUGGGCUGCUUUCUUACUGGGCUAUCAUUCUACUUCAAGGCACAAGGAUUGUACACACAAUUGGUUCCUACAUUGGCUCUUUACGGCAUACUGGCAUACUAUGUGGCAUACUCAAUUGGAAUGGGACCUGUUCCUUGGGUUAUCAUGUCCGAGAUAUUCUCAAUCAACAUGAAAGGAAUAGCAGGAAGCUUGGUAACCCUGGUUAGUUGGGUUGGUUCAUUCGUGAUAUCGUAUUCGUUCAGCUUCCUUAUGGACUGGAACUCUGCAGGCACAUUUUUCUUGUUCUCAGCAGCGAGCCUGGUUACUGUGUUGUUCGUGGCAAGGCUAGUGCCAGAAACUAAAGGGAGAACACUAGAAGAGAUCCAAGAAUCACUAAUGGCCGGCACAUGA